rnacentral:rRNA from 1 species
GCAGACGGGUGAGUAACACGUAGGUAACCUGCCCUCAAGACGGGGAUAACGCCUGGAAACGGGCGCUAAUACCGGAUGACCUUAGUUGGGGAAGCACCGGCUAAGGAAAGGCUUUGGCGCUUGAGGAGGGGCCUGCGGCCCAUCAGUUAGUUGGUAGGGUAACGGCCUACCAAGGCGAAGACGGGUAGGGGGUGUGAGAGCACGGCCCCCCACACUGGGACUGAGACACGGCCCAGACUCCUACGGGAGGCAGCAGCGGGGAAUAUUGCGCAAUGGACGGAAGUCAGACGCAGCGACGCCGCGUGGGUGAAGAAGGCCUUCGGGUUGUAAAGCCCUUUUCUGUGGGAAGAGGAAGGACGGUACCAUAGGAAUAAGCGUCGGCUAACUACGUGCCAGCAGCCGCGGUAAGACGUAGGACGCGAGCGUUAUCCGGAUUUACUGGGCGUAAAGCGUGUGUAGGCGGCGUGACAAGUUGGGCGUGAAAGCCCCGUGCUCAACGCGGGGAGGCCGCACAAUACUGUCAGGCUAGAGGGCAUCAGAGGGGUGUGGAAUUCCCGGAGUAGCGGUAAAAUGCGCAGAUAUCGGGAGGAACACCGGUGGCGAAAGCGGCACCCUGGGGUGCACCUGACGCUGAGAGACGACAGCUAGGGGAGCGAACAGGAUUAGAGACCCUGGUAGUCCUAGCCGUAAACGAUGGAUGCUAGGUGUGGGAGUGAAGAACUUCUGUGCCGCAGCGAACGCGAUAAGCAUCCCGCCUGGGGAGUACGGCCGCAAGGUUAAAACUCAAACGAAUUGACGGGGACCCGCACAAGCAGCGGAGCGUGUGGUUUAAUUCGAUGCUACACGAAGAACCUUACCUGGGAUUGACAUAUGGGUGGUAGUGAGCCGAAAGGCAAGCGACCCUUCGGGGAGCCUAUACAGGUGCUGCAUGGCUGUCGUCAGCUCGUGCCGUGAGGUGUAGGGUUAAGGCCCGUAACGAGCGCAACUCCUGUCCUUAGUUACAAGUGUCUAAGGGGACUGCCGGCGGGAAGCCGGAGGAAGUUGGGGAUGAGGUCAAGUCAGCAUGGUCGUUAUAUCCAGGGGGACACUCACGCUACAAUGGUCGGUACAGAGGGCAGCGAAGCCGCGAGGUGGAGCGAAACCCAGAAAGCCGG